GUAUUCCAGGUCACGUGACCCAACCAAGAAGCGAGAGUGGUCGCUGUCCGGUCCUGCAGAACGGAUUAGAUGUCGCAUGUCUGAAAACUCAGGUCCUCUAGAGAACCCUGGACCUGCAGUCAGAACCCUGGGUAUGUCGUCACAUCCCUGGGCUGAAGCCAGAACCCUGACCGCUGAUGGUUUGGGUUCAUUAGAGCAGAGCCUACAUGCAGAGACAACGGCAUCUUUUAUGCAGCUAUUGAAAAUGUGAGUUAUGCUCUAUACAGUCUCACUUUUGAGAGGGGACAGCAGUAAAAGAACAUGACAAAUGUGUGAAAAUUCAGAAAAACCUUCCAGGUUAACAUACUGUCCAUAGAGAGGAUUAUUUAACGGUUUCUCCUUUGUGGUUAACGUCUGUCCUGCUGACUGGACAGUUUCCAUGGAGAUGUAAUUAUUACCUUCAUGACCUCCUUUUCUGUCUGCAUGGGUUGUUAUCCCUCCCUAGACACUUGUCCUGAAACAAUGAUUAUACCCAUCCAGUAAACUUGUAAAGGAUCCUCACACACAGGCAUCCUGAAUUACAUUUUCAUUAGUUUUACUUUCAGCCUUAGAGAACAAUGUUACAACUUUUAAAGACAGAGGUCAGGAAUGAAUUGAUAUGGGUUCGGGGGGAAAAUACGUAUUUUCAUAGGCUGUGCCUCGUAUCGGACACUACCUGUCCUGAAAUAGAAAAGCACCACCGCCACCUUGUGGAUAUAAAAUGCAAUUGUGUGCAUCUUCACUCACGGGGUGAUAAUUAAAGAUUCAUUCAGUUACAUAAAAUGUAUUCAAAUAUGAGAAGCAGCGCCCCCAAUUCUUGCUUUAACUUCUGCACUUUCCUCCUGCUCGAGUUUAAUUUUAAGUGGUUUCACAAAAUAAGCCAAGGAUGAAAGCCCGCCUCACCAAAGGCAAUUGGUGGGAACAGGAUUACCAGAGCAUAAUUGGCUGGAAGUAGCAGGCCACUCCAAAAAUUUGAAACUGACAUUCCAAUGGCACUGAGCUUUUUGUUUUGCUCAACUCUCAGAGGGCCUAAAUUUACACAUGGGAGCUAAAUUGUUCAUUUUUAACUGAAUCUAAUCUAUUGUAACUUUAACAACCAUCACUGUACAACCGCACAGACAGAAAACCUAACUUGUAGCAGGGUCAUAUUUAUUAAAAAAAAUGUAACAAUUCACAAUAAAUUAUCGAUGCAUUUUUUUCAACAAUUGGAUCAUGUGAUCUAAAACCAUUGUCAUUGUUG